rnacentral:tRNA from 1 species
GCGCCCGUAGCUCAAAAGGACAGAGCGCAGGCCUCCUAAGCCUGAUGUGGCCGUUCGAUUCGGCCCGGGCGCA